rnacentral:rRNA from 1 species
UACAGAGGGUGCAAGCGUUACUCGGAAUUACUGGGCGUAAAGCGCGCGUAGGUGGUUUGUUAAGUUGGAUGUGAAAGCCCCGGGCUCAACCUGGGAACUGCAUUCAAAACUGACAAGCUAGAGUAUGGUAGAGGGUGGUGGAAUUUCCUGUGUAGCGGUGAAAUGCGUAGAUAUAGGAAGGAACACCAGUGGCGAAGGCGGCUCACCGGCCCGAUACUGACGCUGAGGUGCGAAAGCUAGGGGAGCAAACGGG